CUAAUUCUUUUUCUAAAGCAAUUAUCUUAUCAUUUUUUGUUUCUUCUAUUUAUUGUAUUUCUAGUUUUGCUUGUUGUUUAAUAAUUUCUAUCUCCUUUUUCCUGUGUAUUUCUUCAUUUUCUUUAGUUAUUCGUACCAUGGCUGUUAGACUAUCUUCUAAACUUACUGUUUCUUUUUCUACCAUUAGAUAUAAAUUUUCACCUAUUUUUUUAUAUCUCCUUCCUAAGCUUGAAAAUAUUAUUUUUAUUUUUAAUCCGUCUUGAUUUUCAUAGGUUUUUUCAUCCAUAGCAAAUUCUUCUUUAUUCAUUAUAGAUUGUGCUUUAGUUUAUAUUCUAUUUGUAGUUGUAU
rnacentral:lncRNA from 1 species